rnacentral:rRNA from 1 species
AGAGUUUGAUCCUGGCUCAGAUUGAACGCUGGCGGCAUGCUUUACACAUGCAAGUCGAACGGUAACGCGGGGGCAACCCUGGCGACGAGUGGCGAACGGGUGAGUAAUACAUCGGAACAUGUCCUGGAGUGGGGGAUAGCUCGGCGAAAGCCGGAUUAAUACCGCAUACGCUCUGAGGAGGAAAGCGGGGGACCUGGUAACGGGCCUCGCGCUGCGGGAGUGGCCGAUGUCGGAUUAGCUAGUUGGUGAGGUAAAGGCUCACCAAGGCGACGAUCCGUAGCUGGUCUGAGAGGAUGAUCAGCCACACUGGGACUGAGACACGGCCCAGACUCCUACGGGAGGCAGCAGUGGGGAAUUUUGGACAAUGGGGGCAACCCUGAACCAGCCAUGCCGCGUGAGUGAAGAAGGCCUUCGGG